GUUUUCACCCCCAAAGGAACCCAUAGCCUCACAUCCACUCGCGUUAACCCAAUCCACUCUGCCCCUGCCCCCAACUUCCGCCGCGGCCGUUCUCGGGGUCUCCGUCCUCGGACCCGUCCCUGCCGCCACCGGCGGCCAUAGCCCCGAGCUCCCCGCCCCCUCCAUCGCCUACCUUCCUUGGUCCCUUCGCUGCCCAAGUCCCCACCGCCGGCGGUGAGCAUAACCCAGAUCCCAUAACCACAUCGAUGCAUGCCUUCCCUAGUGACGCGACCACUGACAGCCCCGUCCACCGGGGCCUUCACCGACCACCGCUAGCCCUCUCGAAGGACCAAGACAGCGCCCUCCACUUCCUCCUCUCAGGGAAAGAUCCUUCCUAUUCUUCCUCUCUGGAAGGACCAAGACAUCGCCCUCCUCUUCUUCCUCUCAGGGAAAGAUUCCAUAUGUGCUUGUGCUAGAGGCAUGCCGCUGGCACCGUUGGGCCCUCAUUUAUGUUAUACAAGCCAUUUGAGGAUAUGACGUGAUGAGCUAUUUUUUAGUCAACGCGUGGCGAGUCCACUUGGAACUGAAUAGGCACUGGUUCUUCUUCUUACUCUCCAUGAGCCCCUUAUACUACUGCUAUGGUUUAUGUGCCUACUUUUAACUCUCUCGUCUGAAAUUGGGCUGCUCUGUUUCAGCUGAUCUGAUAGUGUGGGUGGGAUAUACAGAACAACCUUGAGAUGUGUCUGCGACCAAUCCACAUUCGGCACAACUCCCACAACUUGAACACCAAGCUCUUUGCCAUUUAAAUGGUUGAGAGAAUAAACUGGAUGGAUGACCAAUCCGAGAAGGGCAUUGAACAAAGUGUAGGUAUCAUGGUCAGUUAUCUCUAAGGUCUUUGUUGGCACGGCUGCACCUCUUUGGUUACCUGGCAUGGCAAUGCAACAUAAGUCUACAUGGUACUUAGCCAACUGGUGCACAUGGACGUGAUGACUUUGCAGCGUUUAUGGACCAACCAACUUGUAAUCAUGGAUCUUAUGUGUUGUAGACCAUUUGGUGAUUUGGUUAUUUUGGAGCUUGCAUUUUGUGCAUGUGGAUACAGACUUGUGUGUUCUGGAUCAUCUAGUUGAAGUUUCUCAUACCGGCAAAUAGUGCUAUCUUUUUGUGACUUGUGUGUUCUGGGUGAUUAUUAAGAUGGUAAAAACUAUGCUUUGUCAAGAUUGAUGUGUUUGUCAACUUGUGUUCAAUGUAUAUGCACGUUUGUGAAUAUAUUUCAUUGUUGUACAA